GUCAUCCCUACAGAAGCCAAAGCACACGGAGCUGAACCAGCCAGCCAAAUCUAAUCUACCCAACACACUCGGACAAAUACUCAAAUGGCAUCAUCAUCCAAGCUGCUGCAGGCCGUCGUCCUCCUCGCCGCCACCGUGAUGAUCAUCCCGGUGGCGGCGUCCUUAAGCUUGCCGGGCGCCGCCGGGAAGGCGAAGACGAUGUUCCAGAAGGCCAAGGUGGUCGUGGCCGGCGCCGUCCCCUGCAGCACCGGCAGCCUCAUCGACAUCGCCACCUCCCCCGCCUUCCCAAAUGCGGAGGUGGAGCUGCGGUGCGCGGGGCAGGUGGUGGCGGGGGCGACGACGAGCACGAACGGGACGUUCACGAUGGAGCUGCAGCUGACGGGCGCGGCGGCGGUGGCGGUGGAGGCGUUCGUCGGCGGGUGCUCGCUGGUGGUGGACACGCCGCUCGUCAAGUGCAACGCCACGCUGCCGCCGGCGGGGGAGCUGGUGUCGCACCUCCAAGGCCCGCUCGCCAGGCUGCUCGGCGGCGUCUUCCACCUCUUCCCCGCCGGAUUCUCCUUCCACCCCCGAUGAUUAUGUUGGUACAUGUACUGGGAGAUCUAGCAGCUAGUUUGACUGUUACAGUGGGUCCUUCCAUCUCUCUGCAUCUUGACUCUUGCUCGUUGAAGAAGACGGAAGAAGCAGGAUGGAUGAAGGUAUUUGUGGAGUGAUGUCGUAGAACCGGAUGCAUGCAAAUAAGAUCAUCAGAAUUGGCGUCAUCGUCGCGACGACUCGAUCCGCAGCCACCAAGAAGAAGAAAAAAACUUCGUAUUUUUUUCUUGAUUCCUUUUUCAAGAAAAAAGAGCUUUUAUUGAUACUUGUCAUCAUAUCAAACCUUGCUACUAGUCCAUGGUUAUCUUUUUCUUCUUCGAAAGCGGGAACGAAUAAAGCACGCUGUCCCCGGAUCACCUUGCUUGCAAAACAAUCGCCCGAGGCUGUAACAACUCGUUUACAGGAUUCGUAGUGGUGUAAUAAACACAAUCAUGUCUAAUGGGCCUUCACCAAUCGCCGGACAGAUAUAGUGCUCUUUUUUUUCUUACAAGUCUAAAGUGGGCAGGAUAUGUAAAGGGCCAAGAAAAGUGAAAUGCCACUCUGAAUUCUGCAGUGUGCCACACGUAA